rnacentral:misc_RNA from 1 species
UAACCCCUCAAGCCUAGCUUGGUGUUGGGGCCUGCUGUUACCGGCAGCCCUUAAAACCAGUGGCGGUGUCAUCUGACUCUAAGCGUAGUAAUACUUCUCGCUACAGGGUCCCGGUGAAUGCUUGCCAUCAACCCCUAAUUUUCUAU